rnacentral:lncRNA from 1 species
UUCUGUAUUCUCUUUCUAUAUUCCAUGCACUCACAUAUACGGCAGAUCUAUAGGUAUGUAUGUGGGUAGAUGUUCUAAAGUUUCUAAUGGAAAAUCUCAAGUUAAAGCCAAUAGUACAAUAGGGAAUCUUGAAGAUAAACAUGAAUAGGAUUGCAAGGGCAGUUUGGUUAUGUAGAUCCAACAUGGAGGAAGCAUAGAAAGUCUAGAUUCACAAGUUUAAUGAUCAAUACUUGAAUCCAGAUCCAUAGCAUCUUUUGAGAAUGGAGAAAUUAAGGAAUAAGAAGCUGGAUCCUUCCAUCAUAAGGCCUUAUGCAGUGGUGGGACAAAGCCCAAGCCAGGAGGGAAAGGAAUCAAAUUGUGGAGAGGCAAAGACACCAAACUAUAUGGUUCUUUUUUCUUCAAAGUUUUCUGCUAGAACAAAUAGCAUUAAUCAUGGCAGGAAGCUUUAGAUGUCCAACAAUCACAUCCUUUUGGUGAUGAAAACCUGCAAAUGGCUCUGUGGAAUGGACUUUAACUCAAAGCAGAGAGAGAGUGGCUAGACAAUGUUCUCCUGGAUGCACAGAGGUAUGAUGAUGAUGACCAUUUCCAGUUUAUAAUCUAAAGGCUUUUACCUUGGUUUAGAAUCAACAUAAAGCUCAUAGUUUGUGGAAAUCACCCAAUUGUCACUAGCUUCUCACACCAAAGCAUUUGGCCUGGAACCACCAACAGGUUAGCCAAAAAGAUUGCAAAUCUUCUAUCAUCUUUUUUGUCUAUGAGGUUGUGCUAUAUAUUUGUGGUAAGAAUAAGAACUUUACACAUAUCUUCUUUGUAAUUCCCUCUUGUUUUUCUUUUGUAGGGCAUUAUCAUUCCAGAGGCUAUGCACGUAUCGAUAGAAAGCAUUUUGUGAUGCUAGAAGCCAUUCUUGAAGCACUAGAGAGAUGGUGCGUGGCUUGCUGAAAAUUCACAAUGGCUGGAUUUAAAUACAAGGAUAUGCAGUGUCAUUAAUAGAAGUCUUUGCUCAUCUGCGAUAAUUUUUGUCAU